rnacentral:tRNA from 1 species
UCCCUAAUAGCUCAGUUUGGUUAGAGCAUUUGACUGUUAAUCAAAGUGUCACAGGUCCGAAUCCUGUUUGGGGAG